rnacentral:rRNA from 1 species
CCCUUAGAUGUCCUGGGCUGCACGCGCGCUACACUGGAAGUUACGGAUUGAGAUACUACCUUGUCCGAAAUGGUCCGGGUAAUCACCUAAAAGCUUGUCAUAAUUGGAAUGGAUUAUUGUAACUAGUAAUCCUGAACGAGGAAUUCCAAGUAAGUCCCAGUCAACAGCUGGUACUGAUUACGUCCCUGCCCUUUGUACACACCGCCCGUCGCUACUACUGAUUGGACGUUUAAGCAAGAUUUUUAAACACUGACAGUGUGUAGUUCACGCUAUACUACAGUGAGAAGAAGAAGAUCGAGCUUACUUGUCUAGAGGAAGUAAAAGUCGUAACA